CUUUUGUUUGUUUGUUUUCAUUUUUCGUGAAAUAAAAAACUUCAAUUAUGUGAUGUUUAUGCAUAUGCAUCCCGAACUACGCAAGAUCUGAUUCAUGUACAAUAUGAUACGUAGGCAAUCUACUUUUGGGUUCGAUCUAAUCAUUUUGUUUUAUCAUUUUUCAUUAUUUUUUCUCUUUUAAUAAAAGCAAAAUCCAUAAAGAAUGAUAACACUAAGGUAGAUAGCGAGAGAAGAAAAGAAAGAAAGAUUGAUAAGAUGAGAAAGGGAAAGAACAGAGAUUGAUACAAAAAAAAGAGGG
rnacentral:lncRNA from 1 species